GUGGGGCAGAGGGCAGCCUGAGCAUCUGCAAACAGAGUGGCUCACAGAGAGGACACCUGCCCUGAGGACACCUGCAGGAGAUCCCUACAGAGGAAGGGCUAGACCAGGCUCCAUCCAGCAAACAGGCAGGACAGCGAUGUCUUCCUGCAUGACAGAAGGGGAAACUGAGGCCCAGAGUGAUGCAGCCCGGGACCUCCCAGGACAAGGUCCAAGCUCUUACCUCAGCCUCUGCCAGCCUCCUCUCACCCAUUCCUGCAUGUGCCGCACCAAUCUGUGUGGAGCGCCCACUCCAGCCAGGCCCUGCUCUAUCAGCAAACUCAGCAGGCAGAACCCCUGCCCCAUGGCGCUGCUUCAGCGUGGUGAGACAGGAACCGCCUGGCUGCUGGGAUGAGAAGAGACUGGAGAGAGACCACGAUGGAAGCCAGGAGGCCAACGAGGAGUUGGGGUAGUCCUCCAGGGAGACAUGAUGUGGCUUCAGCCCCAGUGGUGAUGGCGGGGUAGAGCCAGCAGGGUUCUGAACUGAGUGGAUGUGAAAUGAGGGAAAGAGGGAUGCUGCGGUCGGCAGAAUCGUGCCUCCCGCAAAGAUGCCCCAUCCUAACCCGUCACCCUUGACAGUGAGACCUCCACCACAAAGGGGACUUUGCAGGCAUGAAGGUUAAGGACCCUGAGAGGAGGAGAUGGCCCUGGACUGUCUGGCGGGCCCAGCAUCAUCACAAGGGUGCUUAUAAGUGGAGGAGGAGGCAGGGGGAGCCGAGCAGAUGUGAGGAUAGAAGCAGAGGUCGGAGGGACGUGCUGUUGGCUUGAGAUGGAGGAGGACCUAUGAGCCAAGGAGCAUGGGCGGCCUCUGGAAGCCAGAAAGGGCAAGGCCUCUUCCCGGAGCCUCCAGCAGAACCCAGCCCCGCUGCCACCUCGACUGCAGAACGGUGACACCGUGUCCGAUUCCCGACCUCCAGAACCGUGAGAUAACACGUGUGCUGUUUUAAGCCACUGCAAUUGUGGUAUUUGUCACAGCAGCCAUAGGAAACUGUACGGGGGUUAAAGAGGACCUGCUGACCUCUGAGCUCACACUGAAGCCUCCUGGAAUGCUGUGGGUUGUGAGCUGGGAUGAGAACGCAGCAUGGAGAUGAAAGACGCAUCCACCCAGGAAGGCCCACUGGCAUCGCAAUCUCAGGGAAGAUUCCCAGGCUGAAAAAAGAGAAAGUGGCUGGGGUGGCACUGAAUGCCCCACGUCAAAGAAAUGGCACCCAAGCCGUCCGUCAGUCCCUCACCUGCCACACAGACAGCACCUUGGACCCAGCAAGAUGUCACUCACCACAUUGAUGCUGUCCACAGGCAUCGCCUUGCUUUUGCAGCUCUGUGUGAGAUUUGUCAGCUUGGUUUGGGUCUGGGGCUGUAUUAGAGCUGUCAGCCUAGGAGCCUACCCUAGUUUUGUGUCUGCACUAUUUCCAAAGCACUGGAAUAAAAGGCAUUUUAACCAA
rnacentral:lncRNA from 1 species